UACAAGAAAGUCACUCCUGUUCACCCUCACCAUCGUCAUCUCUGCGCUUCUCACCUUCGCCAACCCUGUCGCGCACAACCCUCACCGUCGCCACCACUCACUCAUCUUCAUCACUCACGACUCACCACACCGUCAGUCAUCUUCAUUGUUGCUUCUCUUUGCUGCGCGCUCACAUUAGGAAGACUCUACCUCAACUGAAAGCCUCUCAUCAGUCGCUCACCAUCGUCAAGAAGGUUCUCUGUGUCCUACUACUUCAGAAUGCUGGGCCGAAAUCUAAGGAUGUCUCUGCAUGUUCCUCUUUUGUAAAAGGGAGAGAUUAAGCAUCAAAUUCUAAACAGUAUUAUCAAGGAUUUGGUAAGAUUAAUAGAGAUCAAAAGCAACUAACUUAUCCAGUGACCUAAAGGUCAUGGUAGCAGCCUCAUUCAUUGGGGCACUAGUUUAUGCAAUAGCUGCUGUUUUUGUAGUAUGUCAGUUCAAAACUAACUAGUAUUUUGCUACUAAGUAAAGGGAAUAUUUGCACUGACAGAGACACAAUACACAAUACACAA